UUUAUGGAGAGUUUGAUCCUGGCUCAGGACGAACGCUGGCGGCGUGCCUAAUACAUGCAAGUCGAGCGGACCAAAGAAGAGCUUGCUCUUCGGCGGUUAGCGGCGGACGGGUGAGUAACACGUGGGUAACCUACCUAUAAGACUGGAAUAACUCCGGGAAACCGGGGCUAAUGCCGGAUAACAUUUAGAACCGCAUGGUUCUAAAGUGAAAGAUGGUUUUGCUAUCACUUAUAGAUGGACCCGCGCCGUAUUAGCUAGUUGGUAAGGUAAUGGCUUACCAAGGCAACGAUACGUAGCCGACCUGAGAGGGUGAUCGGCCACACUGGAACUGAGACACGGUCCAGACUCCUACGGGAGGCAGCAGUAGGGAAUCUUCCGCAAUGGGCGAAAGCCUGACGGAGCAACGCCGCGUGAGUGAUGAAGGGUUUCGGAUCGUAAAGUUCUGUUGUUAGGGAAGAACCGCCGGGAUGACCUCCCGGUCUGACGGUACCUAACGAGAAAGCCCCGGCUAACUACGUGCCAGCAGCCGCGGUAAUACGUAGGUGGCAAGCGUUAUCCGGAAUUAUUGGGCGUAAAGCGCGCGUAGGCGGUUUCUUAAGUCUGAUGUGAAAGCCCACGGCUCAACCGUGGAGGGUCAUUGGAAACUGGGAGACUUGAGUGCAGAAGAGGAAAGUGGAAUUCCAUGUGUAGCGGUGAAAUGCGCAGAGAUAUGGAGGAACACCAGUGGCGAAGGCGACUUUCUGGUCUGUAACUGACGCUGAUGUGCGAAAGCGUGGGGAUCAAACAGGAUUAGAUACCCUGGUAGUCCACGCCGUAAACGAUGAGUGCUAAGCG
rnacentral:rRNA from 1 species